rnacentral:rRNA from 1 species
CGAAUGAGGAGAUUCAUUGUCAGCUUAUUCAGUAUUAAUGCAGGCUAUGAUGUGAUAAUAGAAUCCUUGUGGUCACUAGAUUAUACUUGCUUGUAUUAUUUUUGGGGGGUAUGUCGGCGUGCACUUCUCCUCUAGUAGAACGUCGCAACCCGUUGGAUGUUUAUCUAUGGCUUGAAUGGUAGCCUUUGAUAUUUUUUAUAUUGAAGACCUUUGAUGUCCUGAUAAACUGUUUGACGGUAUACAUAUGGUAUUGAGCCGCAAUUAUUUGCGUUAGACUUGCCGCAAGUAUGACUUUAUUCUAGUAGUGCGGAUCUAAUGCCGUCGCUGGACAAAGUCUGCUGUUAGCUGUGUA